UGUGGCCUUGUUAGAGGAAGUGUGUCAUUGGGGAUAGGCUUUGAGGUUUCAGAUGCUCAAGCCAGGCCCAGUGUUUCACUCUCUUCCUGUUGCCUG
rnacentral:miRNA from 1 species